UACAGAGACUGCGAGCGUUAUUCGGAUUCACUGGGCGUAAAGGGUGCGCAGGCGGCCAUGUGUGUGAGGCGUGAAAGCCCGGGGCUUAACCCCGGAACUGCAUUCGAUACUGCCAGGCUAGAGUACUGGAGAGGAGAUUGGAAUUUACGGUGUAGCAGUGAAAUGCGUAGAUAUCGUAAGGAAGACCAGUGGCGAAGGCGGAUCUCUGGACAGUUACUGACACUGAGGCACGAAGGCCAGGGGAGCAAACGGG
rnacentral:rRNA from 1 species